rnacentral:rRNA from 1 species
CCUACGGGAGGCAGCAGUGAGGAAUAUUGGUCAAUGGGCUUACGCCUGAACCAGCCAAGUCGCGUGAGGGAAGACUGCCCUAUGGGUUGUAAACCUCUUUUGUCAGGGAGCAACGCCGGCUACGUGUAGCCGGACUGAGAGUACCUGAAGAAAAAGCAUCGGCUAACUCCGUGCCAGCAGCCGCGGUAAUACGGAGGAUGCGAGCGUUAUCCGGAUUUAUUGGGUUUAAAGGGUGCGUAGGCGGAAGGUUAAGUCAGCGGUAAAAUGUCGGUGCUCAACACCGGCCUGCCGUUGAAACUGGUCGUCUUGAGUGAGCGAGAAGUAUGCGGAAUGCGUGGUGUAGCGGUGAAAUGCAUAGAUAUCACGCAGAACUCCGAUUGCGAAGGCAGCAUACCGGCGCUCAACUGACGCUGAGGCACGAAAGCGUGGGGAUCGAACAGGAUUAGAUACCCCAGUAGUC